GUAGUCUUAGAGCAUUAGCACAGAUGUUAUGUGAUUGAGGAGGUAAUUGGGGUAUAUGCCAAACACCUGGCUCGACAAGAAUGCUAUAAAGGAAAAAGAAGCCAUGGUGGGAACUCCUUAGUGGAUAUGGAGUUGUUGCUUACAGUGGAUGAAGUGUGAGACCUCUAGAUAGGAUUGAAUUAAGAGAUAUCAGAGCAGUGAAGGUAUUUACUGCUGAGAAAUAGGGACAAGCACGUGUUGUUAGCCCAAUUGAUUCUAUCUCCCAAGAAUUUAAAGGAAUUCUAUAGUGUUA